UACGGGGGGAGCAAGCGUUGUUCGGAUUUACUGGGCGUAAAGGGCGCGUAGGCGGUCAGCACAAGUCAGUUGUGAAAUCUCCGGGCUUAACUCGGAACGGUCAACUGAUACUGUGCGACUAGAGUGCAGAAGGGGCAACUGGGAAUUCUCGGUGUAGCGGAUGAAAUGCGUAGAUAUCGAGAGGAACACCUGCGGCGAAGGCGGGUUGCUGGGCUGACACUGACGCUGAGGCGCGAAAGCCAGGGGAGCGAACGGG
rnacentral:rRNA from 1 species